CUAAUAAAAGCCUUAAUUAGGGGACACAUGUCCACCUCCUAGGGCCUCUAAAGUUCAUUUUCCCGCCAAAAUAUGCAUUCUCCUCAUUUCCCUUGAAUUAACCCGACACGGGAUCCGAACAACUCAUUCGGGUCAUUCCAUAUAUAAACAAAGAACCCGUCCUUUUGUUUCCCCAUUUUCAACAUCGCAUUAGGGUUUCUUCAUAUUCUCUCUCUCUUUCUUCUCCGCCGCUCCUCAAGAUCUUCAAAAUAAUCUUCGAAUCUCAAUUGUCUGAUAUGAUAAGGUGUUCUUAUGUGUAGUUUGUAGACCCGACAUAUGAUUUGUGAUGGUUGAUCUUGAUUUUUUUCUGGUUUUGAUUUGUGAAUAGUUUGAUAUUAUCAUCCAGACUGUUUCCUCUCAUCAUUCUCACUGGAUUCCUAAUUCGUAUCCCUACAACAUCGUCAAUACAUCAGGGUUUUGAAUAAUCCGGUAUCUCCCAAACUCUUUCAGGUAUGAUUUCAUCUCCAAAUCUCUAAACGAAGUAUGAGAUUUGGAUCUGUUUUUUUGACAGGAUUGCAUUGAGACACUCGACAUCGGCAAAACAGCCACUGCCAAAUCGAAAGGUCAUAACUUUAUCUUAUUCGUAAACGACAACCCAGGGUAUGAUUUUUGUCUGAGACUAGGCCUCCAACAGCCUUGGGAUAGAGCCAAUCUGUUGUUUCAAAAGAAGAACAAAAGUUCAAAGAUGGAAAAAUGAACCGUGAAAGUGUUGUCAUUCAACUUAGAGAGCUUUUCACCAGGCCUAUAUGUUUUCUCAUAUUUCACGAAAGAAGGUCACGUUCUUCAGAGAAACACAAGCCAAGCCACGGUGUUCGGGUACCCACUGUUUUUCUUACCCUUUUGCUGCCACAGUCCCAAGCCAUCAAGUUCGAUAAUAUAUUGAAAACUAGCUUCUCUAUUGCCAUUUUGCAGAGAAACAAAAUUUGAUUUUCAAGUUGCAGGUACUAAAAUUAUGUUUGAUUUUUCAUUGCAGGUGUUUAUAUCGAACCAAUGGAUUCUUUAAUUUCAUGAUUAUUCUUCUUUAAACUUUUGAUUAUGGGGUGCAACUGAAUCAAAAUUGACAUAUCUACAAUGUUAUUGAUAUAUGCACACCAAGUGCUCGAUGAAAUGCAUGUGUGGAACUCUGAUUCGAGUACAAUUACACUUAUUAUAUAGAGAAGGUAACGUUACUCAAAAUGACCCUUUCAACCUUGAUUUAUGUUUGACCCGUUUGUAGUGCUAUAUUCUUAGCUUUAUUUUAUUAUUAAAAAACAUUUAGUACUGUAAUUUGUAGUGCUAUACUCACAACAUUGAUUCAUAUGUCACUAUAUUGAGCAUGCUAAUUUGAUAUCUUUAUUAAUUGAAAAUGUCAUUAAUGAUUCAUGUUUGUGGUCUUAUUCUUAUAUAUGCUAAUUAUAGGUGUUGUAUUCAAAUAAG